rnacentral:tRNA from 1 species
GGUAGUAUAGCUUAGCGGUAGAGCAUGUGCUUGGCGUGCAAAAGGUCCUGGGUUCAAUUCCCAGUGCUUCCG